AAAAAAAAAAAACACAGAUUCUAAUUUAGCUAUAUAUAAACAUAUUGUGUGAUUCACUUACUCUCUUCUCUUUUCUUAUUUUUUACUUCCUCUUAGUGCCUAUUUGGAAUUGGAAUUAACAGAGGAGAAAAAUUAUGCAGCCAUUUUCAAACACCAUACAUUAGUCUACUACAUUUCUCUUGUAUUGAACACACUUCUUUGGC
rnacentral:lncRNA from 1 species